rnacentral:rRNA from 1 species
GGCUUUUUGACAAUAAUUUAAGGUCUGACCUGCCCAAUGAUGAAGUUAAAUGGCCGCGGUAGACUGACCGUGCAAAGGUAGCAUAAUCACUAGUUUUUUAAUUGAAAGCUUGUAUGAAAGGUUUAAUGAAGAAAUCGCUGUCUCUGUUCAAAUUUUUUAGAAAUUUAUUUUUAAGUUAAAAAGCUUAGAUUUAUAUUAAAGACGAGAAGACCCUAUAGAGUUUUAUAGUUUUAUAGAAUUAUUAUAUUUUGGAAUUUUUUAAUAAUUUUUUAGAUUUAUUUGAUUGGGGUGAUUAAAAAAUUAGUUAAACUUUUUUAUAAGAAAUUUCAUUGAUUUAUGAAUUUUUGAUCUUUAUUAAAGAUUAAUAGAUAAAAUUACCUUAGGGAUAACAGCGUAAUUUUUUUUAGAGUUCUUAUCGAAAGAAAAGAUUGCGACCUCGAUGUUGGAUUAAAAUUAAUUGUUGGUGGAGAAGCUAACAGGUAAGGUCUGUUCGACCUUUAAAUUUUUACAUGAUCUGAGUUUAAACCGGCGUGAG